rnacentral:rRNA from 1 species
ACGCUGGCGGCAGGCCUAACACAUGCAAGUCGAGCGGUAGAGAGAAGCUUGCUUCUCUUGAGAGCGGCGGACGGGUGAGUAAUGCCUAGGAAUCUGCCUGGUAGUGGGGGAUAACGUUCGGAAACGGACGCUAAUACCGCAUACGUCCUACGGGAGAAAGCAGGGGACCUUCGGGCCUUGCGCUAUCAGAUGAGCCUAGGUCGGAUUAGCUAGUUGGUGGGGUAAUGGCUCACCAAGGCGACGAUCCGUAACUGGUCUGAGAGGAUGAUCAGUCACACUGGAACUGAGACACGGUCCAGACUCCUACGGGAGGCAGCAGUGGGGAAUAUUGGACAAUGGGCGAAAGCCUGAUCCAGCCAUGCCGCGUGUGUGAAGAAGGUCUUCGGAUUGUAAAGCACUUUAAGUUGGGAGGAAGGGCAGUUGCCUAAUACGUAACUGUUUUGACGUUACCGACAGAAUAAGCACCGGCUAACUCUGUGCCAGCAGCCGCGGUAAUACAGAGGGUGCAGGCGUUAAUCGGAAUUACUGGGCGUAAAGCGCGCGUAGGUGGUUUGUUAAGUUGGAUGUGAAAUCCCCGGGCUCAACCUGGGAACUGCAUUCAAAACUGACUGACUAGAGUAUGGUAGAGGGUGGUGGAAUUUCCUGUGUAGCGGUGAAAUGCGUAGAUAUAGGAAGGAACACCAGUGGCGAAGGCGACCACCUGGACUGAUACUGACACUGAGGUGCGAAAGCGUGGGAGCAAAC